GGGCAAAGCAUAUUCCUGGCAUUCACGUUGUAGUGGCGGAUACUCUCUAUCGUUCACAAUGGUCGGGAUUUUUGGGCGGUCCCCCCGCGGGUGGAUCUGGAAGGGACUCCAUGCCCGGUGAAGAUGUGGUCGCUUGGUCUGGCAGAAUGAGGGAUUUGGUCCGUGGGUCAGUCUCCCGGGCCUCGUGGACCUGAUACAGUGAAGUGUGG